UCAAAACACUGUUUUAGAGUUCUACAUCAUGGGCAGAAACAAAGAUACACACAUGCAAUGAUGGGAUCCUUUUCACCCACACUAUAGAUUACUGGCAAGCAGAGUUUUCAUGAAAUACUCUAGGAAUCCCUACGGAUUUCCCCUGAGUAGAGUGGGAUACACAGGGCCUGCAUUUAUACCUAAAGCUUGCAACUUAUCGCUGCACCUGAAUCUGAGCACCUGAUGAAGUACCUGACAUUGUACCAAAAAGACAUUUCUUCAAACUCUAGAAUCAUACCCAGACAAGCAAGAGGCCUUUAGCACUGGAUGGCUCCCAGUCAGGUCAAGUAAAGCUUGACAGCAAUGGCUGAAUCUGCCACGCAGCUCACAGGUUGGAGAAAAUUAACAGCAACGAUUGGACAAAAUUACAAUGGACCCAGAAGCAGUUAUCAGAAAAUGACUAUCACAUGGAGAUGGAUCUGAGACAAAUAAAGAACUUUUUGAAGUUU